rnacentral:sRNA from 2 species
GCACCUGCAAAAUCAGGUGCCGGGAUUGGAACCCCAGGGAAAGAUCACGUAACGCUGUUUUUUU